GAUGAACGCUGGCGGCGUGCUUAAGACAUGCAAGUCGAACGCAACUCUGGCAGCAAUGUUGGGGUUGAGUGGCGAAUGGGUGCGUAACACGUAGGUGACCUGCCCGGAAGUGGGAAUAACAGUCCGAAAGGACUGCUAAUACCGCAUGCGACCGCGGGGACGGAAGUUCCCGCGCUCAAAGGUCAAGCGUAAGCGCGAUCGCUUCCGGAGGGGCCUGCGGCCCAUCAGCUCGUUGGUU
rnacentral:rRNA from 1 species